UACGAAGGGGGCUAGCGUUGCUCGGAAUCACUGGGCGUAAAGGGUGCGUAGGCGGGUCUUUUAAGUCAGGGGUGAAAUCCUGGAGCUCAACUCCAGAACUGCCUUUGAUACUGAAGAUCUUGAGUUCGGGAGAGGUGAGUGGAACUGCGAGUGUAGGAGGUAAAUUCGUAGAUAUUCGCAAGAACACCAGUGGCGAAGGCGGCUCACUGGCCCGAUACUGACGCUGAGGCACGAAAGCGUGGGGAGCAAACAGG
rnacentral:rRNA from 1 species